rnacentral:rRNA from 1 species
CAGGACGAACGCUGGCGGCGUGCUUAACACAUGCAAGUCGAACGGGAGUAUCAAAGAAGCUUGCUUUUAAGAUACUUUAGUGGCGGACGGGUGAGUAACGCGUGAGGAGCUGUCCUAUGCAGGGGGACAACAGUUGGAAACGGCUGCUAAUACCCCAUAAGCCGAGAGGUAAAAAGGAUUAAUCCGGCAAAGGAGGCACUCGCGUCCUAUCAGCUAGUAGGUUGGGUAACGGCCGACCUAGGCGAAGACGGGUAGCCGGCCUGAGAGGGCGAACGGCCACACUGGAACUGAGAUACGGUCCAGACUCCUACGGGAGGCAGCAGUGGGGAAUAUUGGGCAAUGGGGGGCAAAACCCCCUGACCCAGCGACGCCGCGUGGGUGAAGAAAUCCUUCGGGAUGUAAAGCCCUGUUGUAUGGGAAGAGUAGAAGACGGUACCAUACGAGGAAGCCCCGGCAAACUACGUGCCAGCCGCAGC